rnacentral:rRNA from 1 species
GACGAACGCUGGCGGCGUGCUUAACACAUGCAAGUCGAACGGAAAGGCCCCUUUGGGGGUACUCGAGUGGCGAACGGGUGAGUAACACGUGAGUAACCUGCCCUUGACUUCGGGAUAACUUCAGGAAACUGGGGCUAAUACCGGAUAGGAAUCCUUGCUGCAUGGUGGGGGUUGGAAAGCUUCGGCGGUUUUGGAUGGACUCGCGGCUUAUCAGCUUGUUGGUGGGGUAGUGGCUUACCAAGGCUUUGACGGGUAGCCGGCCUGAGAGGGCGACCGGCCACAUUGGGACUGAGAGACGGCCCAGACUCCUACGGGAGGCAGCAGGGGGGAAUAUUGCACAAUGGGCGGAAGCCUGAUGCAGCAACGCCGCGUGCGGGAUGACGGCCUUCGGGUUGGAAACCGCUUUCAGCAGGGGCGAAGCUUGUGGUGACGGUACCUGCAGAAGAAGCACCGGCUAACUACGUG